rfam:Gossypium raimondii Chr06_contig_1192, whole genome shotgun sequence.
AUUUCUUUUAACAUAUUAGGAAGUCGAAUUGGUAGUGAAAAAAGAAGUAAGAAGUCGACUAUCAUCAUUUCCCUAUAACCAAAACCCAUAAACCCAUACCAUGCUUCUUUCUUCACUACCAAUUCGACUUCCUAGUAUGUUAAAAGAAAU